GACGAACGCUGGCGGCGUGCUUAACACAUGCAAGUCGAACGGAAAGGCCCUGCUUUUGUUGGGUGCUCGAGUGGCGAACGGGUGAGUAACACGUGAGUAACCUGCCCUUGACUUUGGGAUAACUUCAGGAAACUGGGGCUAAUACCGGAUAGGAGCUCCUGCUGCAUGGUGGGGGUUGGAAAGUUUCGGCGGUUGGGGAUGGACUCGCGGCUUAUCAGCUUGUUGGUGGGGUAGUGGCUUACCAAGGCUUUGACGGGUAGCCGGCCUGAGAGGGUGACCGGCGACAUUGGGACUGAGAGACGGCCCAGACUGCUACGGGAGGCAGCAGUGGGGAAUAUUGCACAAUGGGCGGAAGCCUGAUGCAGCAACGCCGCGUGCGGGAUGACGGCCUUCGGGUGGUAAACCGAUUUCGCCUGUGACGAAGCGUGAGUGACGGUAAUGGGUAAAGAAGCACCGGCUAACUACGUG
rnacentral:rRNA from 1 species